ACACAAAUCAGUUGAGGAUCUUGUUACAAUGCAGAUUCUGAUUUAGUAGUCUUGAGUGUGGCUUAAGAUUCUGCAUUUCUAACAAGCUUCUAGGUGAUGCCAAG
rnacentral:pre_miRNA from 1 species